UACGUAGGGUGCGAGCGUUGUCCGGAUUUAUUGGGCGUAAAGAGCUCGUAGGCGGUUUGUCGCGUCGGCCGUGAAAUCUCCACGCUUAACGUGGAGCGUGCGGUCGAUACGGGCAGACUGGAGGUAUGCAGGGGAGAACGGAAUUCCUGGUGUAGCGGUGAAAUGCGCAGAUAUCAGGAGGAACAUCGGUGGCGAAGGCGGUUCUCUGGGCAUGUCCUGACGCUGAGGAGCGAAAGUGUGGGGAGCGAACAGG
rnacentral:rRNA from 1 species